GAAGCAACGCGAAGAACCUUACCUAAGCUUGACAUCCCAAUGACAUCUCCUUAAUCGGAGAGUUCCCUUUGGGGACAUUGGUGACAGGUGGUGCAUGGUUGUCGUCAGCUCGUGUCGUGAGAUGUUGGGUUAAGUCCCGCAACGAGCGUAACCCUUGUCUUUAGUUGCCAUCAUUAAGUUGGGCACUCUAGAGAGACUGCCAGGGAUAACCUGGAGGAAGGUGGGGAUGACGUCAAAUCAUCAUGCCCCUUAUGCUUAGGGCUACACACGUGCUACAAUGGGUAGUACAGAGGGUUGCCAAGCCGUAAGGUGGAGCUAAUCCCUUAAAGCUACUCUCAGUUCGGAUUGUAGGCUGAAACUCGCCUACAUGAAGCUGGAGUUACUAGUAAUCGCAGAUCAGAAUGCUGCGGUGAAUACGUUCCCGGGUCUUGUACACACCGCCCGUCACACCACGGGAGUUGGAGACGCCCGAAGCCGAUUAUCUAACCUUUUGGAAGAAAUCGUCGAAGGUGGAAUCAAUAACUGGGGUGAAGUCGUAACAAGGUAGCCGUAUCGGAAGGUGCGGCUGGAUCACCUCCUUUCUAAGGA
rnacentral:rRNA from 1 species